rnacentral:snRNA from 1 species
AUACUUACCUGACAGGGGAGAUAACACGAUCACAAAGGUGGUUUUCCCAGGGCGAGGCUUAUCCAUUGCACUCCGGAUGUACUGAUCCCUGGGAUUUCCCAAAUGUGGGGAAUGCGACUGCAUAAUUUGUGGUAGUAGGGGACUGUGUUUGCACUCCCCCCCC